rnacentral:rRNA from 1 species
GAUCAUGGCUCAGAUUGAACGCUAGCGGCAGGCCUAACACAUGCAAGUCGAGGGGUAGAGUUCUUCGGGACUUGAGACCGGCGCACGGGUGCGUAACGCGUAUGCAAUCUACCUUAUACAGGGGAAUAGCCCAGAGAAAUUUGGAUUAAUGCCCCAUAGUGUUAUCGAAUCGCAUGGUUUGAUAACUAAAGUUCCAACGGUAUAAGAUGAGCAUGCGUCCCAUUAGUUAGUUGGUAAGGUAACGGCUUACCAAGACAAUGAUGGGUAGGGGUCCUGAGAGGGAGAUCCCCCACACUGGUACUGAGACACGGACCAGACUCCUACGGGAGGCAGCAGUGAGGAAUAUUGGUCAAUGGGCGCAAGCCUGAACCAGCCAUGCCGCGUGCAGGAAGACGGUCCUAUGGAUUGUAAACUGCUUUUAUACAGGAAGAAACCCUCCCACGUGUGGGAGCUUGACGGUACUGUAGGAAUAAGGAUCGGCUAACUCCGUG